CAGAAUCAGAGAAAAGAAGAGAGGAAGAAGAAGGAGAAGGAGGGAAAGGGAGGAAGAGAGAGAGAGAGCAAAUCUCAACCAUUUUGAGUGAUUCCAAAGCCUAAACCACUCCAAAUCUCCUCCUCUUUCAUAAUCCUAGCUUUGUUUUGAGUGGGGAGCAUUGUGGAGAGAGAUAUUACCUCUCAAAAAUUCGGCCCUUUGGUGAAAAUUGGGGUUUUGGGAAGUUCUACCUCCAUGGGAGCUUGAGGAACACUCCCAUCAUUGUUGUGCAACCAUUGGUGGAUCGAGACAUUUGGACCAACCGUGAGUGAUCAACCAUUGGAGCAAGCUAUGGAGCUUGAUUAGCUCCAUUGGAUAGGUUUUGUUUGAGAAGUGAAGUAUUGUAAUUGACUGACUGUGGAACCUGUUGGUGGUGAACAAAGGUCAAGUUGAAGCUUGAGGUAAGGAUGCUGCAGGAGCCUCUGGUGGCAAGUGGCCAUAUCUGGAUUAUGCAUGAGAUGUGGCAUUCCUUUUGAGUUUAUGCAUGCCUUUUGUAGUUGACAUGUAUAGGAGUUUAUUUUGAAAGCCCUUGGUCAUUUGUAUGCCUUGAUUCAUUGAAUGAACUUAGCCUAUGCUCAUGCCUUUGGUUACACCUUUUGUUGAUGGGAGCCAAGGGAAUGAUCAUAGUGUUUUGUAAGCUAAGUUCUAUGAUUUGUAAAGGAUAUGUAAAG